AUAGCAGUGUGAGAAUGGACUAAUAGAGGAGAUCAUAAUGCUACUUAUACCUUAUGGUUGCUGAGAUAAUCAAAUAAAAUAAUUAUCAUUUACAAAGCAUUUGCUAACUUUUAAAAACUUUUUUGUGGCCACAUAUGAUGGCUUAUGUCUACAAUCCCAGCAAUUUGGGAGGCCAGUGCAAGUAGAUUGCUUCAGCCCAUGCACGACCAGC
rnacentral:lncRNA from 10 species